UCGGAUGUUGAUGCAAUGGAGCAGCAAUUGGCAGACCCUACCUUCCAGAAACAAGUGGUGGGUCGUGGAAUGGAAAAGUUUGGGAACCCCUGACGUAGUGGAGAGCAAGAUAGAGCAAGGACAGGGGAGUGAGGAGCUGCACUUUCGGUAUUUUAUUUAUUUAUUUUGUGUGAAAUAAUGUAUUUUAGAGUGUUCAGAUAUGCAUAUACAAACAAUACAAG